rnacentral:tRNA from 1 species
GGGGAGACAGCACAAUGGUUAUGCAAAAGCCUUUCAAGCCUGAGGCUCUGAAGUCCCAGGUUUGAUCCCUGGCCUCACCA